UACGUAGGGUGCAGGCGUUAAUCGGAAUUACUGGGCGUAAAGCGUGCGCAGGCGGUUUGCUAAGACAGGUGUGAAAGCCCCGGGCUCAACCUGGGAAUGGCCGUUGAAACUGGCGAACUGGAGUGUGGCAGAGGGGGGUGGAAUUCCGCGUGUAGCAGUGAAAUGUGUAGAGAUGCGGAGGAACACCGAUGGCGAAGGCAGCCCCCUGGGCUGACACUGACGCUCAGGCACGAAAGCGUGGGGAGCAAACAGG
rnacentral:rRNA from 1 species